rnacentral:rRNA from 1 species
CAGCAGCCGCGGUAAAACGUAGGUGGCAAGCGUUGUCCGGAAUUAUUGGGCGUAAAGCGCGCGCAGGCGGAUAGGUCAGUCUGUCUUAAAAGUUCGGGGCUUAACCCCGUGAUGGGAUGGAAACUGCCAAUCUAGAGUAUCGGAGAGGAAAGUGGAAUUCCUAGUGUAGCGGUGAAAUGCGUAGAUAUUAGGAAGAACACCAGUGGCGAAGGCGACUUUCUGGACGAAAACUGACGCUGAGGCGCGAAAGCCAGGGGAGCGAACGGGAUUAGAUACCCCCGUAGUCCCUGUCUCUUAUACA